GUGUCAGCCGCCGCGGUAAUACGUAGGGUGCGAGCGUUAAUCGGAAUUACUGGGCGUAAAGCGUGCGCAGGCGGUUAUAUAAGACAGAUGUGAAAUCCCCGGGCUCAACCUGGGACCUGCAUUUGUGACUGUAUAGCUAGAGUACGGUAGAGGGGGAUGGAAUUCCGCGUGUAGCAGUGAAAUGCGUAGAUAUGCGGAGGAACACCGAUGGCGAAGGCAAUCCCCUGGACCUGUACUGACGCUCAUGCACGAAAGCGUGGGGAGCAAACAGGAUUAGAUACCCUGGUAGUCCACGCCCUAAACGAUGUCAACUGGUUGUUGGGUCUUCACUGACUCAGUAACGAAGCUAACGCGUGAAGUUGACCGCCUGGGGAGUACGGCCGCAAGGUUGAAACUUAAAGGAAUUGACGGGG
rnacentral:rRNA from 1 species